GCAAGGGCCCCGGAGCAACAGCCCAGGCCCCACGGAGCGUGGGAACCCCCACCUGGCCUGGGUCUGGAGGCUUCGCUCCGCCAGCUGUUUACUUGUACCCAGUCUGCAAUCCACCGGAGAGAGCGUCCCCUUCAUCGCGGACAGCGGACCGGAGGGGCAAUGGAAUAUUCCACUGCACCCAGAGAGAUGGGGAGGAAGCAGGCGGCGGAGCGAUCCAUUCAACCGGAAGGGGAGACGCAAUAGCAAAGAUAAUCUUGGGUAUAUAAAAAAGGCUUUCCUAGGGUCGGCUGCAUUCAGCCACCCAGGGGUUCGACUUCCCCUUCUUGAUGCGCCCCACUUUCCAACCCAAGGGUCUCUGGCUUUGCAGCGGAGCCCGAAUUUCUGUUCCCAAGGUGGGGGGUGGGGGUAGGACGGACUAAAGGCUAAUCCAGCGUCUAGCUGGACGCCAGGCGAGUGGCAGGCCAGCGUGCCAGGCCGACCCAAGCCGGAGCGCCCCUCUUCCCGCUUCUGCCUGCCGUCCCGCUCCCGAUCAGCGCCUUACAACUCUUCACUUUGAAGUGCGUGUUGUGACCUUGUCUCCAGAGACGCCGAGAGUCCUUCAGGCCCCUCGAGUGAAGUGCAGCCUGGCCCAGUUUCUCUGGCCCUACUUUUAUCUCUGCGUUCACGACCAACCCUUCAUGACCCACCUUCCAUGGGCGUAGGGCCCCGGGGGCUGCAGGGACUCACCAUCGGAUUUCCACCAGUCUUUGAGCCCUGAGCGAUCCCAACAAUCUGCUCCUCAGAUCCCAGCCGGCAGCUAGCGACACAGACCCUGCUACUGCAGCCAGACUUCUGCGCUGCGGGUGCUGGCACCACUCAGCCUAGCCGUGACCCUUGCGCGCGCCGGAGUGCUCCUGGCUGGCCUUUACCCGUCAGGGCAUUUACUUAGCAAUUAAAUAAGGCACCAGGAUUUCUGAACAUGCCUGAGCCGCUCAACCCGUAUGCAGGAUCUUUUGCUCAGUCUAAACUCGACUCUCAAUAAAACCAGACGCGUGUAGUGAAGCUGGUGUGGGAGGAAUAGAUCCGGGGUUCUCUCUGAUACAUCCACGCUUGAAAAACCAGAAUCACCGGUAUGAGACCGUGAUGCAAAAAUUUCUCAGACCUGGGACUGGCUCAAGCCGGGGCCUGGGACUGCCCUCCAGGACACCACCGGAGGGGCCGUGUCCUAGGGCGACUGCCUCAGGUGAGGGCUGGGAAAUUUUAAAAUGGGAGGGCAUUUCUGAUUCUCCUGCUGGGUUUCUGCAAAAGGCCCAACUGGUAUAAUCUCUGUAGACUGCCUAUCCUCACCCCACCUCCCCACCCACGCCCUUCCAAGACACAAAAAGCAAAUAAAAAGACUGUAAGUCACCCCUGCGUCUCGGGUUGACUCCGGGGGUGGAUCAGCGUCUUGGGGCGGGAGGAGUGGAGGACAGGGGGUGCUGCAGGGUACAGAUAUGAAUGCUGGCGGGUCAAGAACUCUAGAGCCUCCACAAGCAGGCUUUUUCAAACCUGCCCGUCACAAAUAAGCAAUUACAUUUUGCUUCCCUCUGCUAAAGCAUUUCAGCUCCUUAACCCUGGAGGAAGAAGGUGCCGGUGUUCUCCCACAGGUGCUUUCUCUCAGCCAGCUUCAAAUAUAGGCCCGAGCUUCCUGCCUCCGUGAGGCAAGGGCAGGCCCAGGCUGUAUACCUGGGGGACUUUUAGGCUUUCUUGGUUCCCAGCUUUGAACAAUUUUCGCUCACACCUGAUUCUGUCUCUAACUGGAGAAGCCUCGAGCUAUCUUGCAGGAGUUCUGAGGGGAACUGAGGAAAGAACCCCUUGGGUGAGCCAGGUUCGGGUGAACGGGGUCUGGAGUCCCACCCGCCUCGCCUGGUCUUGCCUCCCGGUUUCCAUGACAACUCCAAGGGAGCCUAAACUGGGGGCUUGAAUGCCAGGGUGAGAGGAGGAAAGAGGUGGUCCAAGUGCAGAGCGAGAACGAGUGUGUGUUGGGGGGGCGACUUCUGAAGCUCUCCCCUUCCCUGGCCUCGGUCCCUUUAAGCUCCCCCCCCCU